rnacentral:ncRNA from 1 species
CGACACUCAUGCCACAUCCGCCGCGAGGCGGAGCCGGAAAGCCGCGGGUCUGGAACACAGAUAGCCGGGUUGCCUCA